AGUGAACGCUGGCGGUAGGCCUAACACAUGCAAGUCGAACGGCCGCACAGUAAGAGCUUGCUCUUACGGGUGGCGAGUGGCGGACGGGUGAGGAAUACAUCGGCAUCUACUUUUUCGUGGGGGAUAACGUAGGGAAACUUACGCUAAUACCUCAUAUGACCUACGGGUGAAAUCAGGGGAUCUUCGGACCUUGCGCGAUUGAAUGAGCCGAUUUCGGAUUCAGUAGUUUGGGGGGUAAAGGCCCACCAAGGCGACGCUCCGUAGCUGGUCUGAGAGGAUGGUCAGCCACACUGGAACUUAGACACGGUCCAGACUCCUACGGGAGGCAGCAGGGGGGAAUAUUGGACAAUGGGCGCAAACCUGACCCAGCCAUACCGCGUGGGUGAAGAAGGCCUUCGGGUUGUAAAGCCCUUUUGUUGGGAAAGAAAAAAAGCAGGUUAAUACCCCGCUGUUCUGACGGUACCCAAAGAAUAAGCACCGGCUAACUUCGUG
rnacentral:rRNA from 1 species